GCGGCUUAUUUGACUCAACACGGGAAAACUCACCAGGUCCGGACAUAGUAAGGAUUGACAGAUUGAGAGCUCUUUCAUGAUUCUAUGGGUGGUGGUGCAUGGCCGUUCUUAGUUGGUGGAGUGAUUUGUCUGGUUAAUUCCGUUAACGAACGAGACCUUAACCUGCUAAAUAGUAUCGCAAACCGGCGUUUGUAGAUGCUUCUUAGAGGGACUGACCACGUUUAGUGGUAGGAAGUUUGAGGCAAUAACAGGUCUGUGAUGCCCUUAGAUGUUCUGGGCCGCACGCGCGCUACACUGACAAAGUCAGCGAGUAUAUAACCUUGACCGGAAGGUCCGGGCAAUCUUGUGAAACUUUGUCGUGCUGGGGAUAGACCAUUGCAAUUAUUGGUCUUCAACGAGGAAUUCCUAGUAAGCGCAAGUCAUCAGCUUGCGUUGAUUACGUCCCUGCCCUUUGUACACACCGCCCAUCGCUACUACCGAUUGAAUGGCUUAGUGAGGCCUACGGAUUUGGACUGUGGCCGCGAGGCUGCAAGUUUGGAGAAGCCGGUCAAACUUGGUCAUUUAGAGGAAGUAAAAGUUGUAACAAGGUUUCCGUAGGUGAACCUGCGGAAGGAUCAUUAACAAAUCCAAUAUUGUGUUAGGGUGGAUAAUCCUAAUUACAAAUAUUAAACCGCCAAAAGAUUUUUCUUUUGGUGUUUAUAUAAAUACAUGUUAUGUUGACAGUGUGAGUGACUUUAAAUUAUUGACAACUUUUAACAAUGGAUCUCUAGGCUCUUGCAACGAUGAAGAACGCAGCAAAGUGCGAAAAGUGAUGCGAUCUGCACGAAUCUGUGAGUCAUCUAAUAUUUGAACGCGAAUGGCACUGUUAUGUAAGUAACAGUAUGUCUGUUUGAGAAUCGCAAAAAACCGAUCAAUUCUAGUUAAGAAUUGGGAGUGACCUUAUGCCACGUGGUAUUUGGUUUAAAUUUAUUAGGUUGAUGAGCUUCCCAACACGGCUCAAUGUGUGCUAGCGAGACAGUCGUCCCGAUCUCACAUUUUAGCUGUGUUGCAGAGUUCUGUCCACAACCUCUAAUCCACUAUCAUAAACGAUCUCAAAUCAGGCAAGAUUACCCGCUGAACUUAAGCAUAUCAAUAAGCGGAGGAAAAGAAACUAACAAGGAUUCCCUCAGUAACGGCGAGUGAAGCGGGAAUAGCUCAAAUUUAAAAUCUGGCGUAAAAGCCCGAAUUGUAGUCUAAAGAGGCGUUAUCGGACACAAGCUUGUGGUACAAGUUCCCUGGAAUAGGACAUCACAGAGGGUGAGAAUCCCGUCUGGACGACAAGUGAGUGGCCAUAUGAGACGUUCUCAAAGAGUCGAGUUGUUUGGGAUUGCAGCUCAAAAUGGGAGGUAAAUUUCUUCUAAGGCUAAAUAAAGGCAAGAGACCGAUAGCAAACAAGUACCGUGAGGGAAAGAUGAAAAGCACCUUGAAAAGGGAGUUAAAAGCGCGUGAAAUUGUUAAAAGGGAAACGAUUGAAGCCAGUAGGACCAUGAAGAGUUCAGUGAUACCCAUUGAGUAUUGCUGCGAUGGGAAUACUUUAUUGUAUCUCUAGUAGUGUACGCAGGUGGACUGUCAUGCAUUCUUUUCAUGGUUAGUCAGUGCCAAUUUGAGUUACCGGAAAAGGACUUGGGGAAGGUGGCCAAUGCUUCGGUGUUGGCUUUAUAGACUCUAGUAAAUACGGUAAUUUGGGCUGGAAUCGACAAUAACUAGUCAAAGUAUGAUAUUUCAGUGGGGCAAGUUGGAGAAUCAGUCGAGUCUCUGAAUGACCCCGCGGGAAUAGAAUACUUUUAAGUUGUGGUGAAUACUGACGAAAUGGCUUUAAACGACCCGUCUUGAAACACGGACCAAGGAGUCUAACAUAUAUGCGAGUAUUUGGGUGGCAAACCCGGAUGCGAAAUGAAAGUGAGUACAAGUGGGAUCCUCUUUAGAGGCGCACCAUUGACCGAUCUUGAUAUCUCUUGAAAGAUUUGAGUUAGAGCAUAUCUGUUGGGACCCGAAAGAUGGUGAACUAUGCCUGGAUAGGAUGAAGCCAGAGGAAACUCUGGUGGAGGUCCGAAGCCGUUCUGACGUGCAAAUCGAUGGUCAAAUCUGGGUAUAGGGGCGAAAGACUAAUCGAACCG
rnacentral:rRNA from 1 species